CGAACCCCGACCUUGUGUUGGCGCGUGAGGGCGCGUGAGAAGGUCUAAUAGGAAGGAAUUGUGUUGAAAUACUAUUAAACGUACAUUCAAGGGGGAAAAGGAGUUCGCAACCAAAUGUAGAUGCUGCAGGCCAGCCGAGGACGAGACCAGCGG